rnacentral:miRNA from 2 species
AAUGGUAGUGACAUUAUGGUAG